GCGGCGGUGGCUGAUGCGGCGGCUGCCCGGGGGGCAGGGCCCGAGCCCGCAGCAGCGGGAGCGGAACUGGUUCAGCGUCCGGUUCGUCGGC
rnacentral:tRNA from 1 species